rnacentral:rRNA from 1 species
UAAGGAAUAUUGGUUCAAUGGGCGCAAGCCUGAACCAGCCAUGCCGCGUGAAGGAUGACGGCCCUAUGGGUUGUAAACUUCUUUUGUUACGGGAAAAAACCUCUGGUCGUGUACCAGAGCUGAUGGUACCGUAAGAAUAAGCAUCGGCUAACUCCGUGCCAGCAGCCGCGGUAAUACGGAGGAUGCAAGCGUUAUCCUGAUUCAUUGGGUUUAAAGGGUGCGCAGGCGGAUUAUUAAGUCAGUGGUGAAAGCCUACAGCUUAACUGUAGAACUGCCAUUGAUACUGAUAUUCUUGAGUGUUGUUGAGGUAGGCGGAAUGUGUCAUGUAGCGGUGAAAUGCUUAGAUAUGACACAGAACACCGAUCGCGAAAGGCAGCUUACCAAGCAACAACUGACGCU